UCCAAUGUAAACAAUUUUAUUAUUUUGCAAAUAUCAGCGUAGCUUUUCUGGUCGAUUAAAUAGUAAAAAAUGGCCGACCAGUACACCAUAAAGGUUGAUCGUUCUAAGGCAGCGUCCGUUGAUGCUUAUCUAGAAUACAAAAGGAUUGUAGGUGAAGACGAUGGAGGUGUCAUGUUUACUCCAGAGGAAUACGAAGACUACAAGAAGAAAGUCUUACCAAUGGUAU